rnacentral:siRNA from 1 species
UAAACCCACAUUUACUUUAUUUCC